GUCGAUAUGUUCGAGUGGUUAAGGGGACAGACUUGAAAUCUAUUAGGCUUCCCCUGCGCAGGUUCGAACCCUGCUGUUGACG